rnacentral:rRNA from 1 species
UACCAGCACCCCGAGUGGUCGGGACGUUUAUUGGGCCUAAAGCAUCCGUAGCCGGUUCUACAAGUCUUCCGUUAAAUCCAACUGCUUAACAGGUGGGCUGCGGAAGAUACUAUAGAGCUAGGAGGCGGGAGAGGCAAGCGGUACUCGAUGGGUAGGGGUAAAAUCCGUUGAUCCAUUGAAGACCACCAGUGGCGAAGGCGGCUUGCCAGAACGCACUCGACGGUGAGGGAUGAAAGCUGGGGGAGCA